GAGGGGAGAGGAGCAAAUGGUUAUUCUCAGGCGCUCCUUCUACUACAAACUUGGAGCAGAGGCCUUUGAGCUAAUUAAUUACAUUCUGUAUAUCUGAGCCAGCUAGCAGAGCUCCUCGCUGACACUCGGAUACAUCUGGGCCUGAUAACAAUUGCAAAUACUCAGGGCACACUUUAGGGGAAAAAAAAAAAAAAAGGCUUAUGUUACAAUGUGCAACAGCACGUUUUACAGUCCUCGGAUCAGUCAGAUAAAUAAAACAGCUCGAGUCCAGGGCUUGGUGGGGGGAAACGUACUUGGUAACAUUUCACCUAGAGCAGAAAAAGUUCCCCACUGACAAGGGACCAGUUUGACCCGAAGAAAAUGUUCAGUUCCUCCGAGGGACAGUUUUGGAGAUUUGGGUCCGACGUGGGAGCGUAGAAGAGAAUUUACAAGAAACUCCUUCUGCGCAUCCAUCCGAGGAGCGGGUGUAGACAUGAAGAGACUGCGCGUUCCUCGGCCGCGUUCGGGGUAAAUACUCAAAAGAUCAUGAAGCAAAUAAACACGGAUUUUCUUGAGGAAAAUGAAUGGGCCCAGAGACCGCGUUUCAUGCCUUACUGAACCCCCGACCCACUCGCUUCGAAGGCCAUCUGUCCUGGAGACAAAAAGACCACUUUUUGAAAAAGAUGCCGUUGUUGGUGUGCGAAUCCUGGAAGGAGCCAAGAUUUGGGAAAAUUGUCUCUGCCACCUUCUAAGCUACUCUUCAUAUCAAGUAACACCCAACUCAUGGGAUUGGGACACGUUUUGUGCUCGAGUGAACGACAUCAUUAUAACGGGAGACGGCGACUCUUAGCCCUCCGUCCACCUCUUCACGUAGCUUCGGUACUUUCGGAGGUUUAAUUUCUACAGAACAGUACCAAGCAGAGAGAACUGUGGAUCUUCACUCACAAGAAGGUCAAAUAGCAACCAAACUGCUUUAUUGAGACCUAUCCUGUUUGAGGCACUGUUAUGUUUAGUAUUAAGAAGGUCUAAGUUUUCUCAUCUUUAAAUGGGAAAUAUGAAACUCAAAAGAAGUUAACAGCCACAUGCCCAAAGUCAAUCAGUCAGUAGGUCAAAAAUACUGAUUGAGAGCUGAGAAUUGGCCCAAAAUAUUUUCACUAAAAAUGCGUGAUCGAGUAACACAAAGACAAAUAAUUUGACUAUGCUACAUGAUUGGCUAUUUUAACUGCUAAGCAGAUACAUUGUGCCUUAUGAACACAGCCAUUCAUCGCAAGGGGCACCUGGAUGGCUCAGUCGGUUGAGCAUCUGAUUCUGCUCA